GAAAAAUCGUCAUCUGCGAUCGUGGAGGCAACGCGAGAGUAGAGAAGGGAACAGCCGUCAAAAUGGCUCUCGGUGCCGGAAUGAUACUGGCCAACACUGGAGACAGCGGGGAAGAGCUCAUCGCCGACUCACAUCUUCUCCCAGCCACCAUGGUGGGCCAGAUCGCCGGCGAUAAAAUCAAAGAAUACGUUAAAUCAAAGGCAUUUCCCACUGCAACCAUUGUCUUCCGCGGCACUGUGAUAGGAACUUCACCGCCUGCGCCCAAAGUCGCAGCGUUCUCCAGCCGCGGCCCCAACCACCUCACCCCCGAAAUUCUUAAACCGGAUGUCAUAGCCCCAGGCGUUAACAUCUUGGCAGGUUGGACCGGGUCCAAGGCUCCAACCGAUUUAGACGUCGAUCCGAGACGAGUCGAGUUCAAUAUAAUUUCUGGCACCUCCAUGUCCUGCCCGCACGUAAGCGGAUUGGCCGCUUUGCUUCGAAAAGCCUACCCGAAAUGGACCCCAGCUGCCAUAAAGUCUGCCCUGAUGACAACCGCUUACAACUUGGACAACUCCGGCAACAACAUCGCCGAUCUGGCCACCGGCAACCAAUCAUCACCGUUCAUUCACGGCGCUGGCCACGUGGAUCCCAACAGAGCUCUCUACCCAGGAUUGGUCUACGACAUUGACGCCAACGACUACAUAUCAUUCCUCUGCGCC
rnacentral:lncRNA from 1 species